CCUACGGGUGGCUGCAGUGGGGAAUAUUGGACAAUGGGCGAAAGCCUGAUCCAGCCAUGCCGCGUGUGUGAAGAAGGCCUUCGGGUUGUAAAGCACUUUCAGUGGGGAAGAAAGCCUUGGGGCUAAUACCCUCGAGGAAGGACAUCACCCACAGAAGAAGCACCGGCUAACUCCGUGCCAGCAGCCGCGGUAAUACGGAGGGUGCGAGCGUUAAUCGGAAUUACUGGGCGUAAAGCGCGCGUAGGCGGUCUGAUAAGCCGGUUGUGAAAGCCCCGGGCUCAACCUGGGAACGGCAUCCGGAACUGUCAGGCUAGAGUGCAGGAGAGGAAGGUAGAAUUCCCGGUGUAGCGGUGAAAUGGGUAGAGAUCGGGAGGAAUACCAGUGGCGAAGGCGGCCUUCUGGACUGACACUGACGCUGAGGUGCGAAAGCGUGGGUAGCAAACAGGAUUAGAUACCCGGUAGUC
rnacentral:rRNA from 1 species